AAACAUCAAAAGCCCUAUGCGAAAAUUCGGUAAACCCGAACUCCCAGCCUGACUCGGAGGGAGUCGAGCAGAAGCAGAGUUUGCAGUCUGAGAAGACCCCUGUGCUGUCCAGCCAACUUUUCCACCUCAGUCUUGGAUGCCGCCCGUCCGCCGUCUAGAUCUCCCCAACUCCUCCGUCCCCUUGCUUCCUGUCGUCGACCUCGGUGGCCGCCGCGAGCUGCGGGUGGUUCAUCGCCGUCGACCUCGCCUCUCCGCUCCUUCUGCACUGCCUGUUACCGGCUUCCUGUUGCUCUACCGGUGCGGCGCGGGUCGUCAGUGAAGCUCCGACUAUCCGGAUUGACUCGGAUCGACCUCUGCUCUCGUGGGGUCUUCAGCGCCUCAAGCAUGGUUGCGGCCAUGCCAUUUUGGAGUCCGUCUGGCGAUAUUAGCUGGCAAGGUUUAGGGAGGGUUUUGUGCUGUGCUGUGGAAAGUUUGAUGAGCGGCUGCGUGGACAUGUGACAAGUACUUGGAAAUAGACAGUGAAGAGAAUUUAGCUUAAAAUUGGUACAGGCCAUGAACCAGGGAGCAUAAGGGAAAAAAGGGAGAUAAGGCAGACAGAGCUUGUAUUUCGUAUUAUCCCUAAUAACUUAAGUUCAUUUAUGGUAGAAACUGGCAAGUUCCAGGUAAAAAGUCAAGUGUCCUGCUUUAUUUUGUAACCUAGAACGACUUGUAGAAUCUCCUACUUGUUAACUAGAGCAUUGGUUUGAUUAAAAUGUGUAGUUGUUUUACAUUUUUGGGUAACAAGUAUAUAUAUAGUUUUUCGCCA